rnacentral:rRNA from 1 species
CUGGGAACUCUGGGGAGACUGCCGGUGAUAAACCGGAGGAAGGCGGGGAUGACGUCAAGUCCUCAUGGCCCUUACAUCCCGGGCUACACACGUGCUACAAUGGCAGGUACAGAGGGCUGCGAAGCCGCGAGGUGGGGCGAAUCCCAGAAAACCUGUCUCAGUCCGGAUUGAAGUCUGCAACUCGACUUCAUGAAGGCGGAAUCGCUAGUAACCGCGAGUCAGCAGGUCGCGGUCGAAUACGUUCCCGGGCCUU